UCGCUAGUGUUUCCAUUUUCUAGGGCAAAAAAUCGAUCGCUAGCGUUUUCAUCUCUCGCCUGAUGCCGUUCGUGCGCCGCCCCACGCGUUUCCCUGCUCGACAGACCGGACGCCCGGAGCUCGGACUUUCCAGAUCAUCUCGCUUUGUAUCUUGGUACAUCUCGCAUCAUCGGAGCAGCCCUCCUAUUUUGUCAUCCUGUUCUGCUCCAUCUCCGUGACUGGUUGAUGGGUGAUUUAGAAUUCCGUUUUCCACUAAGGAUCUCAAAGAUAAUAACACCAAAGCUGAAGACGUCGGAUUUGAUAGAGAAGACACCCUGUGAAGCAUACUCAGGGGCCAUGUAGCCACUAAAAUUGUAUAUGACACAUGUAAAAGUUAGUGCGUAUUGUUCAAAUGUAAGAUAAAUACUUAUGAGAUGAUUUUAUUUAUAUGAAACUUACUAUGUACCAACCA